UACGUAGGCAGCAAGCGUUGUUCGGAGUUACUGGGCGUAAAGGGUGCGUAGGUGGCUCUAUAAGUAUGGUGUGAAAUCUCCCGGCUUAACUGGGAGGGUGCGCCGUAGACUGUGGGGCUAGAGUGUGGGAGAAGAAAGUGGAAUUCCUGGUGUAGCGGUGAAAUGCGUAGAUAUCGAGGAGGAACACCGGUGGUGUAAACGGCUU
rnacentral:rRNA from 1 species